rnacentral:lncRNA from 1 species
AGCUUGCAGGAAAAUUCCAGAAGCCAAAGCACAUCUAGCCACCGAAGCGGGGCCGCGGAGGGGGAGUUCGUGGAGAGGUUUAUGGGAGCUGUGGCCUCUACGUAGCUCCCGCCCCAUGUGGGGCGACAGCCAAGCCCCUGGUGGUGGGCCCGAGGCAGCUGUUGGGUAGCAGAGCCAACAGCAGGAAAUGUUAGCUGGGAGGGAGCAGAGGAGAGAGCCGGAUAAACCGGGAGCUGCAGGGCCUCUCAGGGCCCCUCUGUUUCUGUCCUUCACUGUAUCUGACGGGAAACCUGCCAAGGGCAGUGACUGCUGCUCGCCUUCCGCCCUACAAUUCUUGCACAAGGUUCUCUUUUGGCCAACUCUAACCCGGAAUCACAGCAGGGAGGGGCUUCUAGGAAAUGGAGUUCCCAGCCUUAAUCGAGUUGCCAUAGCACAACUCAGCACCGCAUCUCCCAGCGUGAUCAAUGAAAUGACAUCACAGGCUCGGUAAAAGCCAUUUAAAAAUAACUCCUUCAUUCUACUGUUCCUCAGCUCAGAAGUCAGGUGCGUGCAUAGGUCGCCCUUCGUUAAGAUUCUCCACUUACGGAGGUGGUGGACCUGGCAGGGUGUUGUAGGAAGGAGUGGCAUGUGCUGAGAAGCUCACAGGAUCCUUAGUCCUGGCUGUGACUCACAGUUAACAAAGAGUGAAGAGGACACUAUCAUCAUCAUCAUCAACAUCAUCAUCAUCAUCAUCAUUAUUAUUUGCCUGAAGGCCCAGAGUACACCGUAAUGGAGUACUGCUGAUGGGAAAGGGAUUAGCAUUGACCUCUCAGGAGGUUAAUUUGGGAGUUUAGCUCAUGAUCUAGUAAUUCUGCUUCUGGGAGUUUAUGAGAAGGAAGUGCUCUAAUAUGUGCGCCUGUGUGAUCGCUGGGCUUUAGCAUUUUAGGGGUGAGCCAACUGUAUCUCAGAGGUGGCCAUGUCUUGCAUUGAGGAGAGAGAGCACCCGCAAGAACUUCCAUGCUAUAUUCUAUUUGGGAAGAACUUGAACCUUGCAUAACGUAAACGAAGAGAAUUAACAAGAAUUUGUGGCACCCCUUCUGUGUCAGUUCUUCUUCCAGAUAAUAGGAAUAUAGCAAUAAACAAAACAGACCAGGUUCCUGCCCUCAUGGGGGAAAGAGGCAAUCUAAAAAUGAAAAAUGGGCCAGGCGCGGUGGCCCACGCCUGUAAUCCCAGCACUUUCGGAGGCCAAGGUGGACGGAUUACCCAAGGUCAGGAGUUCAAGACCAGCCUGGCCAACAUGGCGAAACCCCAUCUCUACUAAAAAUACAAAAAUUAGCUGGGCGUGGUGGCACGUGCCUGUAAGGCCAGCUACUCGG